CUCAACCAUCAGGUUCGGCAGCCGGCGGCGCCGCCUGGCAGCUCCUCCUCUUCUCCGCCCCGCUGGCCGCGGGCGCGGGGGACGUCAGCGCUGCCAGCGUGGAAAGAGCUGCGGGGCGCGGGAGGAGGAAGUAGAGCCCGGGACCGCCGGGCCACCACCGGCCGCCUCAGCCAUGGACGCGUCCCUGGAGAAGAUAGCAGACCCCACGUUAGCUGAAAUGGGAAAAAACUUGAAGGAGGCAGUGAAGAUGCUGGAGGACAGUCAGAGAAGAACAGAAGAGGAAAAUGGAAAGAAGCUCAUAUCCAGAGAUAUUCCAGGCCCACUCCAGGGCAGUGGACAAGAUAUGGUGAGCAUCCUCCAGUUAGUUCAGAAUCUGAUGCAUGGAGAUGAAGAUGAGGAGCCCCAGAGCCCCAGAAUCCAAAAUAUUGGAGAACAAGGUCAUGUGGCUGUGUUGGGACAUAGUCUGGGAGCUUAUAUUUUGACUCUGGACGAAGAGAAGCUGAGAAAACUUACAACUAGGAUACUUUCAGAUACCACCUUAUGGCUAUGCAGAAUUUUCAGAUAUGAAAAUGGGUGUGCUUAUUUCCACGAAGAGGAAAGAGAAGGACUUGCAAAGAUAUGUAGGCUUGCCAUUCAUUCUCAAUAUGAAGACUUCGUAGUGGAUGGCUUCAGUGGGUUAUAUAACAAGAAGCCUGUCAUAUAUCUUAGUGCUGCUGCUAGACCUGGCCUGGGCCAAUACCUUUGUAAUCAGCUCGGCUUGCCCUUCCCCUGCUUGUGCCGUGUACCCUGUAACACUAUGUUUGGAUCCCAGCAUCAGAUGGAUGUUGCCUUCCUGGAGAAACUGAUUAAAGAUGAUAUAGAGCGAGGAAGACUGCCCCUGUUGCUUGUCGCAAAUGCAGGAACGGCAGCAGUAGGACACACAGACAAGAUUGGGAGAUUGAAAGAACUCUGUGAGCAGUAUGGCAUAUGGCUUCAUGUGGAGGGUGUGAAUCUGGCAACAUUGGCUCUGGGUUAUGUCUCCUCAUCAGUGCUGGCUGCAGCCAAAUGUGAUAGCAUGACGAUGACUCCUGGCCCGUGGCUGGGUUUGCCAGCUGUUCCUGCGGUGACACUGUAUAAACACGACCCUGCCUUGACUUUAGUUGCUGGUCUUAUAUCAAAUAAGCCCACAGACAAACUCCGUGCCCUGCCUCUGUGGUUAUCUUUACAAUACUUGGGACUUGAUGGGUUUGUGGAGAGGAUCAAGCAUGCCUGUCAACUGAGUCAAUGGUUGCAGGAAAGUUUGAAGAAAGUGAAUUACAUCAAAAUCUUGGUGGAAGAUGAGCUCAGCUCCCCAGUGGUGGUGUUCAGAUUUUUCCAAGAAUUACCAGGCUCAGAUCCAGUGUUUAAAGCCGUCCCAGUGCCCAACAUGACACCUUCAGCAGUCGGCCGGGAGAGGCACUCGUGUGAUGCGCUGAAUCUCUGGCUGGGAGAACAGCUGAAGCAGCUGGUGCCUGCGAGCGGCCUCACAGUCAUGGAUCUGGAAGCUGAGGGCACGUGUUUGCGGUUCAGCCCUUUGAUGACCGCAGCAGGUAUGAUCUCGUGAAACCUUGAGAGAAACUGAAUGAGGAAUGAAACUAUUGUUCCUGUUUCACACAGAAGAAAACUGAGGUUGGCACUCAUGAUGAGCCCCUGUUCUCAUUCUGCAAAUGGUGAAGCUCUCUAUCGUCCUGACCCCACAGUUCCUGUCCCAUGACCAGGGCCCGCUCACCAAGGAGCUGCAGCAGCACGUAAAGUCAGUGACAUGCCCAUGCGAGUACCUGAGGAAGGUGACCUUGAGGAACCCUGGGAGCUCAGGAAGGAAGGAGCGCCCAGAAGCAGGGACAGGGAGCUGGUUGGGGAGGACCAGAAAUCAGGUGCCCAACAGCCCCCUUCUCCUCCUUUCCCUUCCCUUACUUCCCCCCUUCCCCUCCCCUUCCCCUCCCCCUCCCCAACUCAGAUCUGGCCCCGGUCCCAUCCCCUUCCCUCCCCCCUGCCCUAAGCCACCUCCACCUCUGUCCUGGCUGCCUCAGGGCGCCCUGAAAGGACCAGGACAUGCGGGUGCGGUGGCUGCGCUUUUGGCUCCUCUUCUGGCUCCUGCUGGGAUUUAUCAGCCAUCAGCCCACCCCUGUUAUCAAUACUCUGGCUGACCAUCGUCAUCGUGAGACUGACUUUGGUGGAAGUCCUUGGAUAAUUAUCAUUAUUGUGUUUCUGGGACGUUACAAAUUUACCAUUCUCUUCUGCACAAUUUACCUUUGUGUGCCUUUCCUGAAGACUAUCUUCUGGUCUCGAAAUGGACAUGAUAGAUCCAGGGAUGUACAGCAGAGAGCUAGGAGGUCCAACCGCCGUAGACAGGAAGGAAUUAAAAUUGGCCUGGAAGACAUCUGUACUUUAUGGAAACAGGCGGAAACAAAAGUUCAAGCUAAAAUCCGUAAGAUGAAGGUCACAAAGAAAGUCAACCAUCAUUACAAAAUCAAUGGAAAGAGGAAGACCGCCAAAGAACAAUCACCCCCUCUGCAAGAAAGCCUCUUUGCAACUGGCUCUGUGCUCAAGCCCUGCAGAGGGAGAUGGCAGAGAGGAAGGCUGCCUACAAGCAUCACAGUCCCAUCCCUGUUGGUAACCGUGUUGUGCAAAAACACCUUCAUCCCCACCCAGUGGGGCCCCUGAUCUAAUAUUCAAAGUGUCAGAGGUUCCAUAUUUGUAAUAGCAAAUGGGCCCUGACUGUAAAUUAGUGAAGAGUGAAUGUAACUUAUUACCCACAGGGACAAUUCCAAAUGAAGGCCUUAAAUGAUGCUCAGCUAAGCUGGUUCUUGUGUGGCCUCUGUACCUUCAAAAGCUGCCGAGUCCUAUGAUUACACGUGAUGGGACUUGUACACUUGAAGUGAAACAGUUUUAAAACUUGCUUUGUUUAGAAUUCCCACCUCAUUUUUCCAUGGACAAAAGUAUUCUUUAUGUCCUAGUGCACUUACAAUUUGGUAUUACCUGGGAGUGAAAAGAAAUAUUACAGCCAUGCCUAACUGACUUCUUGAGGUAAGAUUGUUCUGUCAGAAAACCCUCUCCCAGUUCCCCUGCAGCUCUUCAGGAAUCCACAUCUCUGCAGAGCUCUUUGUUCUCAUGGGUGGCACCUCCAGAGUGAAGAAGAUCCUUUAUCAAGAAGGGAAACAGGGGAAAUGAGAGGGUCCUGCAGGCAGAGCUGGAAUCAACUUCCACUCUGCCUCUUGCAAGCUGUGUGACCCCGGGCACAAUUUCUCCUUCCUCUGGAAACCUCUGUUUUCUUAGAUUUGGAGCAGGGUGGUCACACUGACCUUGCAGAGUUCCGAGAAUCAGAGACAGAACAUAAAAGGCCUGGAAAACAUUCUCCAAAAAGAAGCUGCAACAUGUGUGGACAAUGGGCUUUUCAUGCCUCUCUUACUGUCUGUUGACCUGGUGCAAGAAACAUGCUCUGGUGAUGGCUGUGAGGGAGGAAUGAGGAUAGACAUAGACACUCCUGUGUCUCAAACAUGCCUCUUUAUUACUCUGUUAUGACUCUGUCUUCCCUGGGGCAGGACCCCAGCCUGCCUACAUUUGCAGACAGACACAGUGGCAUGUGGAGACAACAGUGUGUCCCAAUGACUUUUCUUUACUCCCCAGCUGUCGGCAGUACUCAGUGGAAGGGUGAUAUUAUGACACUGAUACUGCUAUUUUGAAACCUGGAGGAUGGAAAGGUGCAAAAAUCUAUCACCAGCAACAGAAGGUCAGAAUGGCGGCAGCGGAGCAUCGUCAUUCUUCAGGAUUGCCCUACUGGCCCUACCUCACAGCUGAAACUUUAAAAAACAGGAUGGGCCGCCAGCCACCUCCUCCAACUCAACAACAUUCUAUAACUGAUAACUCCCUGAGCCUCAAGACACCUCCCGAAUGUCUUCUUAUUCCCCUUCCACCCUCUCCUCUUCCACCCUCCGUGGAUGAUAAUCUCAAGACUCCUCCCUUAGCUACUCAGGAGGCCGAGGCAGAAAAAUCACUGAAACCCAAGAGGCAGAGGUUGAGUAAGCUGAGAACAGGUCAUUGCACUCAAGCCUGGGCAAUAAGAAGAAAUCUGUGAGUGGAACAAAAGAAAAAAAUCAAAAAACAAAACAAAACCCACACUCCAAAAACAAACUAACAAAGAAUAAAUAAAUAAUAUAAAAAUAAAA
ensembl:lncRNA PDXDC2P-NPIPB14P PDXDC2P-NPIPB14P readthrough, transcribed pseudogene